rnacentral:rRNA from 1 species
UCCCAGACUCCUACGGGAGGCAGCAGUGGGGAAUAUUGCACAAUGGGGGAAACCCUGAUGCAGCGACGCCGCGUGAGUGAAGAAGUAAUUCGUUACGUAAAGCUCUAUCAGCAGGGAAGAAACACUGACCUUACGGUCAGCAGACGGUACCUGAGUAAGAAGCCCCGGCUAACUACGUGCCAGCAGCCGCGGUAAUACGUAGGGGGCAAGCGUUAUCCGGAUUUACUGGGUGUAAAGGGAGCGUAGACGGUGCGCCAAGUCUGGAGUGAAAGGCGGGGGCUCAACCCCCGGACUGCUCUGGAAACUGUACGGCUGGAGUGCAGGAGAGGUAAGUGGAAUUCCUAGUGUAGCGGUGAAAUGCGUAGAUAUUAGGAGGAACACCAGUGGCGAAGGCGGCGUACUGGACUGUAACUGACGUUGAGGCUCGAAAGCGUGGGGAGCAAACAGGAUUAGAUACCCCAGUAACA